rnacentral:rRNA from 1 species
CUCAGCCUACGGGGGGCAGCAGUGAGGAAUAUUGGUCAAUGGGAGAGAUCCUGAACCAGCCAAGCCGCGUGAGGGAAGACGGCCCUAUGGGUUGUAAACCUCUUUUGUCGGAGAACAAAACCCGGGACGAGUCCCGGACUGCGUGUAUCCGAAGAAAAAGCAUCGGCUAACUCCGUGCCAGCAGCCGCGGUAAUACGGAGGAUGCGAGCGUUAUCCGGAUUUAUUGGGUUUAAAGGGUGCGCAGGCGGAAGAUCAAGUCAGCGGUAAAAUUGAGAGGCUCAACCUCUUCGAGCCGUUGAAACUGG